rnacentral:rRNA from 1 species
UGAGUAACGGCGAGCGAAAAGGGAAAAGCCCAGCACCGAACCCCGUCCUAGCCCUAAGGGACGUGGGAAUGUGGUGUUUAGGAGUGAGCGUGCUGGAGGUUUGGACGCAUGCAGCAAGUCCCCCUGACCGGGGCAUUGAUCCAUAGCGGGUGCGAGACCCAUAGUUGCUGUGUCUCCUCCGGAUGUGAUCUCCUUGGAGUCGUGUUGCUUGGGAGUGCAGCACUAAGUGGGAGGUAAACUCCUCCUAAGGCUAAAUACUGCCGUGAGACCGAUAGCAAACAAGUACCGUGAGGGAAAGUUGCAAAGAACUUUGAAGAGAGAGUUCAAGAGUACGUGAAACUGCUCAGAGGGAAACAGAUGGGCCCUCGAAAUCCUGUGGCGGGAGGAUUCAGUUUUGUCGUUGCGGACAUGACUGUGGAGUUGGAAAAAAAGUGUUUUCCCCUGACAAGAGGGAGAGCAGACUCCGCGUUGUGCUUUCGUAGCGGUAGACGCAAUUGUUUUCCCGUCCUGAGGACGCCGCGACCGGUUGGCGGGACGGCCUUAAGGGUGGACAAUGGCAGUUGACCGGCUAGUCAAGGCAUUCAGUUGCUGGACGCGGUAGGUUGUUAGCCAGUUCCACCUCCGGCAUGUACCCCGACCGAGGUAUCGCAAGGCCCCUGAUAUAUGGGCUUCAAUAACGCCUCCCUCUGGCACCCAGAGAGUGCGGGUAAAUGAAAGACGAAAGUGCGUCACUGGCCUGCUACUUUUGGUAUUCACACGGAUUCACUUCGUGGUUUCCAAAGUACUUCCAAAGGGCUUGGUUGGACUGC